CAGUAGCCGCGGUAAUACGUAGGGUGCGAGCGUUAAUCGGAAUUACUGGGCGUAAAGCGUGCGCAGGCGGUUGUGUAAGACAGGUGUGAAAUCCCCGGGCUUAACCUGGGAACUGCGCUUGUGACUGCACAGCUAGAGUAUGGCAGAGGGGGGUGGAAUUCCACGUGUAGCAGUGAAAUGCGUAGAGAUGUGGAGGAACACCGAUGGCGAAGGCAGCCCCCUGGGCCAAUACUGACGCUCAUGCACGAAAGCGUGGGGAGCAAACAGGAUUAGAUACCCCUGUAGUCCCUGUCUCUUAUAA
rnacentral:rRNA from 1 species